UUGGAGGGCAAGUCUGGUGCCAGCAGCCGCGGUAAUUCCAGCUCCAAUAGCGUAUAUUAAAGUUGUUGCAGUUAAAAAGCUCGUAGUUGAAUUUCGGGACCAAUAUGUCGGUCGUGCUUCGGUACGUACUUGCAUUAUUGGUUUCUCCCUUCUGAAGAACCAUGAUGUCAUUAAUUUGGUGUCUUGGGGAAUCAGGACUGUUACUUUGAAAAAAUUAGAGUGUUUAAAGCAGGCUCGCGCUUGAAUACAUUAGCAUGGAAUAAUGAAAUAGGACGUUUGAUUCUAUUUUGUUGGUUUCUAGGAUCGACGUAAUGAUUAAUAGGGAUAGUUGGGGGCAUUAGUAUUCAAUUGUCAGAGGUGAAAUUCUUGGAUUUAUUGAAGACUAACUACUGCGAAAGCAUUUGCCAAGGAUGUUUUCAUUAAUCAAGAACGAAAGUUAGGGGAUCGAAGACGAUCAGAUACCGUCGUAGUCAUAACCAUAAACUAUGCCGACUAGGGAUCGGAUGAUGUUAUUUAUGAGGACUCAUUCGGCGCCUUACGGGAAAC
rnacentral:rRNA from 1 species